AUUGAACGCUGGCGGCAGGCCUAACACAUGCAAGUCGAACGGUAACAGGAAGAUGCUUGCUUCUUUGCUGGCGAGUGGCGGACGGGUGAGUAAUGUCUGGGAAACUGCCUGAUGGAGGGGGAUAACUACUGGAAACGGUAGCUAAUACCGCAUAACGUCGCAAGUCCAAAGAGGGGGACCUUCGGGCCGCUUGCCAUCGGAUGUGCCCAGAUGGGAUUAGCUAGUAGGUGGGGUAACGGCUCACCUAGGCGACGAUCCCUAGCUGGUCUGAGAGGAUGACCAGCCACACUGGAACUGAGACACGGUCCCGACUCCUACGGGAGGCAGCAGUGGGGAAUAGUGCGCAAUAGGCGCAAGCCUGAUGCAGCCAUGCCGAGCGUAUGACGGAGGCCUUCGGGUUGUAAAGUCCGUUCAGCGGGGAGGAAGCGAGUAAAGUUAAUACCUUUCCUCAUUGACGUUACCCGCAGAAGAAGCACCGGCUAACUACGUG
rnacentral:rRNA from 1 species